AAAAAAAAAGUGUUGAAAAACCCGCUGGCAUAUUGAAAAAAUUGUAAUUUUCUUCUCUCUCUGUGAGUGUGAGUGUAGGUUGGAUGUUCCAGACGAGCAGACUCACGCUAGCUUCCACUUUACCACGGUUGCGUGAAAAAAACAAAAGAAGUAGAAGUUGCUGACUGUUGUUGGAAGGUUUCGACCUUGGCUGUGUGUGUUGGAUAUUAUUCAACCACGCGCUGUGCGGCCGUGAUUGCACACACGCAGAGGAAAAAAAAAACGACACCACCGUCGAGAACGAAAGCCCUAAAGCCCCAAAUAAGACUUUGUGUGUGUACGAAAGAAGAAGAAGAAGAAUCUUUUCGCUCUUUGGCUGAUGCUGCUGUUGUCCAUCUGUCAAGUUCAACCGACAAUUUUUCCUAUCGGUUGUUUGUGCAGCUGCGGGACCCAGCCAGGCACGCAUCGCGCCAUUUUCAAAAAGGAGAGAAACACACGCAAUCAAAUAGGACCUUCACCUGUCGAUGGGUCAAAACGAUUUUCCCUACCUCAUCGCCCUUUUUUUUCUUUUUUUGACAAGUUUAUCAUGGAAAA